rnacentral:lncRNA from 1 species
AAAGAAAGUAGGUAGAAAAUGAAUGUAAUGGUAUUUCUUAAAAACACAACAACAGGGGCUGGCCUGGUGGCAUAGUGGUUAAAUUUGCAUGCUCUGCUUUGGCGGCAUGGAGUUCGCUAGUUUGAAUCCUGGGCACAGACCUAUGCACUGCCCACCAGGCCAUGCUGUGCUGGCAUCUCACAUACAAAAUGGAGGAAGAUUGGCACAGAUGUUAGCUCAGGGACAACUUUCCUCACCAAAAAAAAAAAAAAAAAAAACAAAGAAAACAGAAACCACAAGAACAGCAUCAACUAUAACCUAUCUCUUUAGAUGCUCUGGUUUUAGAUCAUGGUCUCCUAUGUGGUCUUCAUGCUGGGGGGAGAGAAGCUUCACUUGGAGAGGGAAGAGAAGAAAUUACGAAGAUCAGGACGUCAUAUUCCAUCUGAACAAUUUACAUAUCAGGGGUUGAUUUGGGACCAUAUGAGGAUAUUUAAAAAGAAAUGAACCUUGGAACAAAGUUUUUGAGAAGAGUCUGAAGAUUCUGAUGUGGCAGAGGGAAAUGAGAGAAUUGAGGCUGUUUUGACAAAUUUGUGAGUAAGAAAAUAAGUCACUCAAAUAACACAAAAAAAAGAGAGAAAACAGAAGAUUUUGAACAAGGGCUCCUGCACCAGGAAGUCAAGGGAGUCCAGGAUCACAAGCAAGCCAGUCUCUGCAACUGUCUCCAGUAGAAAGAAGAAUGAAGAGGAUGGAGAAGUUCGGCCAUGACAACACGUACUGCUGAUCUUCAAUCGGAGAUCUGGGUGCUGACUUGAGAUUAAGAGGAACGCACAUGCUGGUUCUGAAAAAGAACGGCCGGUAAAGGCUGGAUCUAAUAAUUCAGGUGAUGAAAUGUAUCAUUCAGCUUUGUUAAACGGACUCAUAUACAGUCAUGUGUUGCUUAACGAUG